rnacentral:rRNA from 1 species
UACGUAGGUGGCAAGCGUUGUCCGGAUUUAUUGGGUUUAAAGGGUGCGUAGGCGGCUUUGUAAGUCAGUGGUGAAAUAUGGCAGCUCAACUGUCAGGGUGCCAUUGAUACUGCGGAGCUUGAGUACAGAUGAGGUAGGCGGAAUUGACGGUGUAGCGGUGAAAUGCUUAGAUAUCGUCAAGAACACCGAUAGCGAAGGCAGCUUACUGGGCUGUAGCUGACGCUGAGGCACGAAAGUGUGGGGAUCAAACAGG